rnacentral:rRNA from 1 species
AACGAACGCUGGCGGCAGGCCUAACACAUGCAAGUCGAACGCACCCCUCGGGGUGAGUGGCAGACGGGUGAGUAACGCGUGGGAACGUGUCCUACAGUGCGGGAUAAUCCAGGGACUCUUGGGCAAACACCGGACACGUUCGAGUGUAGAACGAUAUAUCGCUGAAGGAUGGGCCCGCGUCUGUUUAGCUAGUUGGUGGGGUAAUGGCCCACCAAGGAGACGAUCAGUAGCUGGUCUGAGAGGAUGAUCAGCCACAUUGGGACUGAGACACGGCCCAAACUCCUACGGGAGGCAGCAGUGGGGAAUAUUGGACAAUGGGCGCAAGCCUGAUCCAGCCAUGCCGCGUGAGUGAUGAAGGCCUUAGGGUUGUAAAGCUCUUUCGUCCGGGACGAUAAUGACGGUACCGGAAGAAGAAGCCCCGGCUAACUUCGUGCCAGCCGCCGCCGUAAAAC